UACGUAGGGGGGCAAGCGUUGUCCGGAAUCAUUGGGCGUAAAGAGCGCGUAGGCGGCCCUGUAAGUCCGCUGUGAAAGUCAAGGGCUCAACCCUUGAAAUGCCGGUGGAUACUGCAGGGCUAGAGUCCGGAAGAGGCGAGUGGAAUUCCUGGUGUAGCGGUGAAAUGACGCAGGAUAUCAGGAGGAACACCGAUGGCGAAGGCAGCUCGCUGGGACGGUACUGACGCUGAGGUGCGAAAGCGUGGGGAGCAAACAGG
rnacentral:rRNA from 1 species